rnacentral:rRNA from 1 species
GGCUCAGGAUGAACGCUGGCGGCAGGCCUAACACAUGCAAGUCGAGCGCGCCCUUCGGGGUGAGCGGCGGACGGGUUAGUAACGCGUGGGAACGUGCCCUUCUCUAAGGAAUAGCCACUGGAAACCGGUGAGUAAUACCUUAUACGCCCUUCGGGGGAAAGAUUUAUCGAGAGAAGGAUCGGCCCGCGUUAGAUUAGAUAGUUGGUGGGGUAACGGCCUACCAAGUCUACGAUCUAUAGCUGGUUUUAGAGGAUGAUCAGCAACACUGGGACUGAGACACGGCCCAGACUCCUACGGGAGGCAGCAGUGGGGAAUCUUGGACAAUGGGGGCAACCCUGAUCCAGCCAUGCCGCGUGAGUGAUGAAGGCCUUAGGGUCGUAAAGCUCUUUCGCCUGUGAUGAUAAUGACAG